UACGUAGGGUGCAAGCGUUAAUCGGAAUUACUGGGCGUAAAGCGUGCGCAGGCGGUUUUGUAAGCCAGAUGUGAAAUCCCCGGGCUUAACCUGGGAAUGGCAUUUGGGACUGCAAGGCUGGAGUGCGGCAGAGGAGACUGGAAUUCCUGGUGUAGCAGUGAAAUGCGUAGAUAUCAGGAGGAAUACCGAUGGCGAAGGCAGGUCUGCUGGCUGACACUGACGCUCAUGCACGAAAGCGUGGGGAGCAAACAGG
rnacentral:rRNA from 1 species